rnacentral:rRNA from 2 species
UUGAAUGCUAAGAGAAUGGAACUACAAAGAACAGCUAUUUUAAACUUAAAAAUUAAAGUUAUUUUAAUUUGUGAAGAAACAAUUAUUAAAAUUAAGGACAAGAAGACCCUAAGAAUUUUAUAAUUAGUAAGUUUUUAUAAUAAAAAGUUACUAAUUUUUAGUUGGGGCAACUAAAAAAUAUUAUGAACUUUUUAAUAACUAAAAUGAACCACUAUUAUUGAUAACUUGAAAAAAAUACUCUAGGGAUAACAGCGUAAUAAUUUUUGAUAGAACAUAUAGACAAAAUAGUUUGCGACCUCGAUGUUGGAUUAGGAUUCUUUUUUAAUGAAGA